rnacentral:rRNA from 1 species
GACGAACCGUGCGAACGUUAUUCGGAAUCACUGGGCUUAAAGCGCGUGUAGGCGGGUGGGAACGUCGGCCGCUGAAAUCCCCCGGCUCAACCGGGGAAGGGCGCCGAAACGGCCCGCCUGGAGGGACGUAGGGGGAGCUGGAACUUCCGGUGGAGCGGUGAAAUGCGUUGAGAUCGGAAGGAACGCCCGUGGCGAAAGCGAGCUCCUGGACGUUUUCUGACGCUGAGACGCGAAAGCCAGGGGAGCGAACGGG